UUUCUUAUUUAUUUAUUUAUUUACUUAUUUAUGUUUAGAGCUAAGGUCUUGCUAUGUUGCCUAGACUGGUUUUGAACUCCUGGGCUGAAGCAGUCCUCCCACUUCGGCCUCUCAAAGUGCUGGGAUAUCAGACAUGAGCCACCUGCCAUGCUUGGCCUAUCAACGUGCCUUUCAUCUGGGAUCUGCCUCCUCUGCUCAGAAAGUGCAUGGAUGAGAUUCUAUCCUGAUCCACAAGGUAGACUGACUACCCCAAUGGCUUCCACAGUGAUUGCCUCAGGGGUAGAUAUAUGACCCAAAUCGGGCCAAGACUUUUGAGCAGAUUUUUUUCUGUCCACAGGCUGUGAAGCUGAGAGCUGGAUAAAUAUAAAGUUUAGAGCUACUGUAACCCUCUUGCAAUCUCAGAGGAGCUCCGGGAACUGCAAGAUAGACUGCAUGGUGCCUGAAGAUGAAGCCCUCAUAGCAAAAGGCAGAGUGAAGAGCCAGAGAAAUGGAGUCAUUAAGGACAUUGGUUAAGUCCUUGUUUACAGCAGUGCCUGUAAUCAGCCAUUCUGGUGGAUUUUUCAGUUACUUGACUUUAAUCAUAAACAGUUAUGCUGUAAUCAUAAAUACCUCCUAAAUGCUCACAGGCUUACAACAAAAAUUAUUUCUUGCUGAUGUUACAUGGUAUACCUGCAGCUCUGCUUGGUUGUUGUUUUUAAUCUGGGACUCAGUAAAAUAGAGCAAUCUCUCUCUAGAAAAUCACCUGUUGUAACAGAGGGAAAGGAAAGUAGGAAAAGAAGUGCUCACUCUAAACUAUCUGCCUGAAGUUGCUUCCCACUUGCAUAUAAUUGGCCAGAACAAAUCACAUGCUCAAGAUUGAUGUCACAGGGUGGAGAGGGGCAGCAAAGUUCUUUGAAAAAUAAUAAUGCAAUCUACAAGUAAAUUUCCCUUUUGCUUAAGUGAGCUUGGGCCACAUUUUCUGUCACCUGCAACCAAAAGAUUCUUUUUUUUUUUUUUUGAGACAGAGUCUUACUCUGUCACCCAGGUUGUAGUGCAAUGACACCAUCUCAGCUGACUGCAACCUCCAUCUCCCAGGUUCAAGUGAUUCUUAUGCCUCAGCCUCCCAAGUCGAGUAGCUGGGAUUGCAGGCGCCCUCCAACACACCUGGUUAAUUUCUGUAUUUAGUAGAGACGGGGUUGCGCCAUAUUGGCCAGGCUGGAGAAUCUUAACUAAGAAAAGGUGAUGAAAUAGUUAGAUAUUUUAUAUAAAAUAAUCAAUACAUGGUAAAUACUCAAAACACAGGAUCUUCUGUUUCCAAGUGCAUGAACAUAGAUUAAGUGAAAAUUAUCUUUCUUAAAAAAAGAUAUGCUCAGUUUCUUUAAUAUACAUUUUAUUCACUUAUCUCACUAACAUUUAUUCAUUGUUUUUUAAAUUUGGCAGACACUGUGCUAGGUGCUGGGAAUACAAAAUGAGUACAAUGCACUUACAUUUUAGUUAUUUAGUAGACUUCCUUUUAAGAAAUAACAAUAUGAGGUUUCAGUGUCUUAUAUUGAUAAUAUCAAACUCUUAUAGUCUAAGCAUAUGGAACAUUCUCCAAGGUUAACCAUAUCUUAGGCCACAAAACAAGACUCAACAAAUUUUAAAAAGUAAAAAUCCGGUGGCUCACGUCUGUAAUCCCAGCAUUUUGGGAGGCUGAGGUGGGCAGAUCACGAGGUCAGGAGAUCGAGACCAUCCUGGCUAACACGGUGAAACCCCGUCUCUACUAAAAAUACAAAAAAUGAGCCAGGUGUGGUGGCGGGCACCUAUAGUCCCAGCUACUUGGGAGGCUGAGGCAGGAGAAUGGUGUGAACGCAGGAGGCAGAGCUUGCAGUGAGCCAAGAUUGCACCACUGCACUCCAGUCUGGGCAACAGAGCGAGAUUCCAUCUCAAAAAAAAGAAAAAAAUAAAAAUCAUGUCAAGUGUCUUUUCUGAUCACAGUGGAAUAAAACUAGAAAUCAAUAACAAGAACCUCAGAAACUACACAAACACAUGGAAACACAAUAUGCUCCUGUAUGACCAAUGGAUCAAUGAAGAAAUUAAGGAAAUUUAAACAUUUCUUAAAACAAAUGAAAAUGGAAAUACAACAUACCAAAAUCUAUGUGAUAUGGCAAAAGCAGUACUAAGAGGUUUAUACCAAAAAACUAAAAAGACAUCAAAUAAACAAGCUAACAAUGCACCCCAAGAGACCAGAAAAACAAAAACAAACCAAACCCAACAUUAGGAGCAGAAAAGAAAGAAUAAAUAUCACAGCAGAAAUAAAUGAAAUUGAGACUAAAAAAAUUACAGAAAAUCAACAAAACAAAAAGUUUCUUUGAAAAGAUAAAAUUGACUAAACUUUAGCUAGACUAAGAAAAAAAGGGAGAGGACCCAAAUAAAUAAAAUCAUAAAUGAAAAAGGAGACGUAACAGCUAAGACCACAGAAAUACAAAGAAUCAUUAGAGAGUAUUAUGAACAACUACAUGCCAACAAAUUGGAAAAUCUAGAAGAAAUGAAUACGUUCCUGGACAAAUGCAAGCUACCAAGACUGAACCAUGAAGAAAUCGAAAACUUCAACAAACCAGUAACAAGAUCAAAGCCAUAAGAAAAAAGUCUCCAAUCAAAAAACAGCCCAGGACUUGACAGCUUCACUACUAAAUUCUACCAAACACUUAAAGAAGAACUAAUACCUAUCCUACUCAAACUCUGCUUAAAAAAAAAAACGAAAGAGGAGAAAAUACUUUCAAACUCAUUUUACUAGGCCAGCAUUACCCUGAUACCAAACCAGACAAGGGCACAACAACAAAAACUACAGGCUAAUAUCCCUGAUAAACAUAGAUACUAAAAUCCUCAACAAAAUACAAGCAAACCAAAUUCAACAACACAUUAAAGAGAUUAUUCACAGUGAUCAAGUAGGAUUCAUCCCAGGGAUGCAAAGAUGGUUCAACAUACAAAAAUCAAUAAAUGUGAUAUAUUACAUUAACAAAAGCAAGAAAAAAACCGUAUGAUCAUUUCAAUAGAUGCUGAAAAUGCAUUGAUAAAAUUCAACAUUCCUUUAUAAUUAAAAAACUCAAAAAACUGGGUAUAGAAGGAACAUAGUUCAAAAUAAUAAAAGUCAUAUAUGACAAACCCACAGCCAAUAUCAUACUGAACUGAAAAAAAUGGAAAGCCUUUCCUCUAAGAUCUGAAAUAAGACAAGGAUGCCCAUUUUCAACUUUUUUGUUUUUUUGUUUUGUUUUGUUUUUUGGGACAAG
rnacentral:lncRNA from 1 species